UACGGAGGGGGCGAGCGUUAUUCGGAAUUAUUGGGCGUAAAGGGCGCGCAGGCGGCUUGGUAAGUCAAAGGUGAAAUCCCUCGGCUCAACUGAGGAAUGGCCUUUGAAACUGCCUGGCUCGAGGCCGGGAGGGGGUAGCGGAAUUCCCAGUGUAGCGGUGGAAUGCGUAGAGAUCCGGAAGAACACCGGUGGCGAAGGCGGCCUGCUGGGCAGUGGCUGACACUGAGGCGCGACAGCGUGGGGAGCAAACAGG
rnacentral:rRNA from 1 species